UGCACUGCAUGGUAUCUGCACUCAGCAGGUUAUUUCUGCUGCAGUGUUCAAAGGACAGUGCCACAGAAAUUCAGUAUCUGGCAUCGUUGGUUUUCUUGGCUUUGUGCAUGUUAAACCUGGUAUUUCUAUUGAUACAGUA
rfam:Tupaia chinensis contig172425, whole genome shotgun sequence.